AACAUCUCAAGUGCAGCUUCAUUUAUCAGAAUUUGGUGAAGAAAACAAGGAUGUUGUAUUUGAUGAAUGGUUGUUAAAAAAGAACAUAAUUCAUGAAUGUAAAUGAAUCCCUUCUUUCUUAACUGGAUAAAAGGAAACUGUGCUGUUUUCUUUUUUACAGUUGGAGCUCGGGCAUUCACGGAUUAAUAUGCAUGUGAUACCAGAAGAGGAAACAGACGACGUCCUAAUAGAAAUGACUGCUGCUCGCCAUCAGCGGUUAAGCUGCAUCUUAACAUAUGGUACUCUGCUGCUGCUUGUGGUUUCUCACCAUGAUGUGGAGGCUCUCAGCUGUCCAACAACCAUCCAUAAAGAAGUUGGAGACACUGUGGAGUUUUCAUCAUGCUCAUCGACUGAAGGGGUCAGCUCAGCAACUUGGAGACAUGAGAAUAUA